rnacentral:rRNA from 1 species
GAUGAACGCUGGCGGCGUGCCUAAUACAUGCAAGUCGAGCGAACGGACGAGAAGCUUGCUCCUCUGAUGUUAGCGGCGGACGGGUGAGUAACACGUGGAUAACCUACCUAUAAGACUGGGAUAACUUCGGGAAACCGGAGCUAAUACCGGAUGAUAUUUUGAACCGCAUGGUUCAAAAGUGAAAGACGGUCUUGCUGUCACUUAUAGAUGGAUCCGCGCUGCAUUAGCUAUUUGGUAAGGUAACGGCUUACCAAGGCAACGAUGCAUAGCCGACCUGAGAGGGUGAUCGGCCACACUGGAACUGAGACACGGUCCAGACUCCUACGGGAGGCAGCAGUAGGGAAUCUUCCGCAAUGGGCGAAGGCCUGACGGAGCAACGCCGCGUGAGGGAUGAAGGUCUUCGGAUCGUAAAACUCUGUUAUUAGGGAAGAACAUAUGUGUAAGUAACUGUGCACAUCUUGACGGUACCUAAUCAGAAAGCCACGGCUAACUACGUG